UUCUUUGCCGUAAAGAUUCCUAAAUCAGUACUUAAACUGAUGGCAGAUGCCAAGGAUAAGGAGAAAGUUUUUUUCUGGCUGCUCAGUAGCUCAGGUGCCCCAUCUCGGUGAUGGACACCUACACUGCAGCCACGAUAAUAAUUAGAACCCCUGGAACCCUCAGAGCCCUAGUCACAAUGAGAAAGUUUAGGAUGUCUGACCAAUGACAGCUUAAAUGAUGAGCAGCUAAAGUGAGGGAGAAAGAUGUGUACUGUUUACAGGCGGGAGUCUGAGGCAAAACAUUAAACAACGAGGGGACCUCAACAAUCUAUGACAUGAACACCGAAAAGACCGCUGGUCUGAGGCAAGAAGGCACCAGUAGCAAUUCACUCCUAGCCUUAGUAUUGACCUCCUGUCUUCCCACCAUAUACUAAUGGACACUCGAGAAGCGACUCUCUUGUGGCCUCACCCAAAGACUGUCAUCAAUGAUGAAACUAUUUAAAUCACAAGGUUUAUUGAAACUCAUAAAAGGUGCGAUGCCAAAUCUUUUGCUCAAGAUUCUAUAUAACAUCAAUAGAAGUUUUAUUAGAGGAAUAGACAAACAGCCUGAGUAUUUUUGAAGAUUCCGCUCUUUUCAUGGAAACAGGCAGAUACACCAGAUCUGAGACCCAGCCCUACAGCAAUCUAGAGCAGCUUCAUGUCAAAAACUCUCCUGUUCAGGGACCAGAUUUCAACAGCUCAUGGUUUGUGCUCUAAUCAGUCCAAGCUUCAAGGAGGCUCUUGAGUUCCCAGGAUUACCUACCACCUGUCAUUCCUGGAAGAGACUAAGCUUGCAGAGAAAAGUACCAGCAGCCAGUGCUGAUUAGGCAGUCUUCAGUGAGAGUGCUGGGUGGGAACGUGCAGCCUCUGCCGCUGCAUUCAUCACCAUUAUCCUUUACAAGUGUGAAGACUAAGAAUAACAUUUAUUACAAGUGUAGAUACGGUUAGAAACUCCUUAAUCUUUGUAAAUACAAAGAGGACUCAAUAAAAUAAUAACAACAACAAUUUAAAGGCUACUCACUAUCAGAUAGGCUUCUUAUUGCAUUGUGAAAUUGUGAAAUCCAAUGGGACUUUUCUGAGGAAAAAGUAAUAAGUAUGAAAAAGCAGCAUCAGAAAUUAUUUUAAAAAAUAAACUAUCAGUGUAAUGGAUAAAGAAAAUAAUGGCACAUAUACACAAUGGAGUAAUAUUCAGCCAUAAAAGAGAAUAAGAUCCUGUCAUUUGCAACAACAUGAAGGAACUGGAGGUCAUUACCUUAAGUGAAAUAAGCUGAGCACAAAAAAGACCGACUUUGCAUGUUCUCACUCAUUUGUGGGAGCUAAAAAUUAAAACACCUGAACUCACAGAGAUAGCGAUUCAAGUGAUGGUUACCAGAGGCUGUACAAAAAUAUAGAUAGAUAGAAUGAAGAAGAUCUAGUAUUUGAUAGCACAACAGUGACUACAGUCAACAACAAUUUAUUGUAUAUUUUCAAAUAACUGAAAGUAUAAUUGAAAUGCUUAUAACACAAAGAAAUGAUAAAUUCUUGAGGCAAUGAUACCCCAUUUUCCCUGAUGUGAAUAUUACACACGGUAUGCCUGUAUCAAAAUAUUUCAUGUAUCCUAUAAAUAUAUAUACCCACU
rnacentral:lncRNA from 10 species